UACGGGGGGAGCAAGCGUUGUUCGGAUUUACUGGGCGUAAAGGGCGCGUAGGCGGCGUCCGCAAGUCAGUUGUGAAAUCUCCGAGCUUAACUCGGAAAGGUCAACUGAUACUGCGGGGCUAGAGUGCGGAAGGGGCAACUGGAAUUCUUGGUGUAGCGGUGAAAUGCGUAGAUAUCAAGAGGAACACCUGCGGCGAAGGCGGGUUGCUGGGCCGACACUGACGCUGAGGCGCGAAAGCUAGGGGAGCAAACGGG
rnacentral:rRNA from 1 species